CAGCCGCCGCGGUAAUACGAAGGGUGCAAGCGUUACUCGGAAUUACUGGGCGUAAAGCGUGCGUAGGUGGUGGUUUAAGUCCGUUGUGAAAGCCCUGGGCUCAACCUGGGAAUUGCAGUGGAUACUGGGUCACUAGAGUGUGGUAGAGGAUAGUGGAAUUUCCGGUGUAGCAGUGAAAUGCGUAGAGAUCGGAAGGAACAUCUGUGGCGAAGGCGACUAUCUGGGCCAACACUGACACUGAGGCACGAAAGCGUGGGGAGCAAACAGGAUUAGAUACCCCAGUAGUCCCUGUCUCUUAUAU
rnacentral:rRNA from 1 species